rnacentral:lncRNA from 1 species
AUUCAUUCUUUUGCCUGGAGUUUUGUGAGGUACCCGCUUGCUUUAUGGGAAAAGGCUGCUCCGGAACUGCCCUACUUUAGACUUUUUCAUGGUUAUCAAUCUGUACAAAGAAUCACCAAACUGAUAAAGCAGGAACCAGAGGGCAAAUCACGCUGCCAAGACAACUGUGUAAUUCGCUCGAAAAAGAAACGGUCUGGCAGAAGGAACAGUAUCAACUGACUGAGUAGGUCUCAUUGGCAGUUGUGAUUCAGAGACCUAGAAAGCUGAACCCACGGCUGGCAAGAAGAGGAUGGUUUGUGGGACCUGGGCUGAUGUCUGAUGAAAUUUUAAGCCCCAGCUAUAGCUACUACAAAGAAAAGUGGCUGAUGAUAAGCAUGUAACUCAAAAAGACAAUGUAUAUAAAAAUAUGCAAGAAUCACAGGAAACCCACAUAUCCAACCACCUAGAUGAAGUUGUUGCUGCUGUUAGCAUCACUCAUAGAAAGAAGUUCCAAAACAAGCUGCUUCAGACAGCACUAUUCCAGCCUCCUCGAGAGAAACUCCACCUCUGUGAAGAGAAAGCAAAGUCCUAUUCC